rnacentral:rRNA from 1 species
GACGAACGCUGGCGGCGUGCUUAACACAUGCAAGUCGAACGGACGGGCGCGGCUCUUGUUGUUUGGUUGUUAGGGGCGCGCGUGUGUGACACAUGUGUAUAAUGCACCUGUCUUUCGGGUAUCUUCAGGAGAAAGGGGCUCUAACAGCAUAGAAGCUUCUGCAGCGUGGUGGGGAUAGGUAAGUUUCGGCUGUUGGGGCUGGAUUAGCGGCUUAUGCGCUUGUUUGUCGGGUAGUGGAGUACAAGGUCUUUGAAGGGUAGCCGGCAUGGGAGAGUGACCGGCGACAUGGGGACUGAGAUACGGCCCAGACUCCUACGGGAGGCAGCAGUGGGGAAUAUUGCACAAUGGGCGGAAGCCUGAGGCAGCAACGCCGCGUGCGGGAUGACGGGUUUCGGGUUGUAAACCGCUGUCGCAGGUGACGAAGCGUGAGUGACGGUAAUGGGUAAGGAAGCACCGGCUAACUACGUG